CCUACGGGAGGCAGCAGUGAGGAAUAUUGGUCAAUGGACGGAAGUCUGAACCAGCCAUGCCGCGUGCAGGAAGACGGCUCUAUGAGUUGUAAACUGCUUUUGUACAAGGGUAAACCUGAAUACGUGUAUUCAGCUGAAAGUACUGUACGAAUAAGGAUCGGCUAACUCCGUGCCAGCAGCCGCGGUAAUACGGAGGAUCCAAGCGUUAUCCGGAUUUAUUGGGUUUAACGGGUGCGUAGGCGGAUUGAUAAGUUAGAGGUGAAAUGUCCGAGCUUAACUCGGGAACUGCCUCUAAUACUGUUGAUCUAGAGAGUAGAUGCGGUAGGCGGAAUGUAUGGUGUAGCGGUGAAAGGCUGAGAGAUCAUACAGAACACCGAUUGCGAAGGCAGCUUACCAAUCUAUAUCUGACGUUGAGGCACGAAAGCGUGGGGAGCAAACAGGAUUAGAUACCCCAGUAGUC
rnacentral:rRNA from 1 species